rnacentral:rRNA from 1 species
GACGAACGCUGGCGGCGUGCCUAAUACAUGCAAGUUGAGCGCUGAAGGUUGGUACUUGUACCAACUGGAUGAGCAGCGAACGGGUGAGUAACGCGUGGGGAAUCUGCCUUUGAGCGGGGGACAACAUUUGGAAACGAAUGCUAAUACCGCAUAAAAACUUUAAACACAAGUUUUAAGUUUGAAAGAUGCAAUUGCAUCACUCAAAGAUGAUCCCGCGUUGUAUUAGCUAGUUGGUGAGGUAAAGGCUCACCAAGGCGAUGAUACAUAGCCGACCUGAGAGGGUGAUCGGCCACAUUGGGAAUGAGACACGGCCCAAACUCCUACGGGAGGCAGCAGUAGGGAAUCUUCGGCAAUGGACGAAAGUCUGACCGAGCAACGCCGCGUGAGUGAAGAAGGGUUUCGGAUCGUAAAACUCUGUUGGUAGAGAAGAACGUUGGUGAGAGUGGAAAGCUCAUAAAGUGACGGUAACUACCCAGAAAGGGACGGCUAACUACGUG